rnacentral:rRNA from 1 species
AGUUUGAUCAUGGCUCAGGAUGAACGCUGGCGGCGUGCUUAACACAUGCAAGUCGAACGAAGCAGUUUAUUACGAUCCCUUCGGGGUGACGAUUUACUGACUGAGUGGCGGACGGGUGAGUAACGCGUGGGUAACCUGCCUUGUACAGGGGGACAACAGUUGGAAACGACUGCUAAUACCGCAUAAGCGCACAGCUUCGCAUGAAGCAGUGUGAAAAGUAUUUUCGGUACAAGAUGGACCCGCGUCUGAUUAGCUAGUUGGUGAGGUAACGGCCCACCAAGGCGACGAUCAGUAGCCGACCUGAGAGGGUGACCGGCCACAUUGGGACUGAGACACGGCCCAAACUCCUACGGGAGGCAGCAGUGGGGAAUAUUGCACAAUGGGCGAAAGCCUGAUGCAGCCGACGCCGCGUGAGCGAAGAAGUAUUUCGGUAUGUAAAGCUCUAUCAGCAGGGAAGAUAAUGACGGUACCUGACUAAGAAGCACCGGCUAAAUACGUGCCAGCCGCGGC